UGGGAUAUAGCUCAGUGGUAGAGUACUUGCCUAGCAUGCACAAGACCCUGGGUUCAAAUCACAGUAUUAUAA
rnacentral:tRNA from 1 species